rnacentral:tRNA from 1 species
GCCUCGGUGGUGGAAUUGGUAUACACGCACGACUCAAAAUCGUGUGGAGAAAUCCAUGAGAGUUCGAGUCUCUCCCGAGGCACAA